GGAAGUAAAAGUCGUAACAAGGUUUCCGUAGGUGAACCUGCGGAGGGAUCAUUACUGAUUUAGCGAACCGAGCGUUAGCGAGGUUUUGCGAUCAACUUGUAUUUAAAACCCACUCUUCAAUGUAUAAAAUUUGUAUUAAUGAUAAAUUAAAAGAUCACUUUCAACAACGGAUCUCUUGGCUCUCGCAUCGAUGAAGAACGUAGCGAAGUGCGAUAAGUAAUGUGAAUUGCAGUACUCCGUGAAUCAUCGAACCUUUGAACGCAUAUUGCACUUUCUGGUAUUCCGGAAAGUAUGCCUGUUUGAGGGUCAGUUAAAUAAAAAUCGGUGUUGUUGCCGCUUUCCGUGGUGACGCGUCGGAAUUGAGUCGUCUUCGGUUAAGUGACUUAAAAUUUUAUAUGAUUUUCGAACGUAUUUAAAUUUGUUUGAACGUUUGAUAUCGAAUGCUUAUUAGGUUCGGUCAUCAUCAUGACUCGCGCCUAUAAUUUUUCAUUAAAUGACCUCAAAUCAGGUAAGAAUACCCGCUGAACUUAAGCAUAUCAAUAAGCGGAGGA
rnacentral:rRNA from 1 species